CACCCGCGCCACAAGUGGCGAUCGCUAUUAUUGGGCCUAAAGCGUCCGUAGCAGGCUCUGUCAAUUCCCUGUGAAAUCGUUGCGCUCAACGUAACGGCGCGCAGGGGACACUGCAGUAGCUUGGGACCGGGAGGAGUCAGAGGUAUUUCGUGGGGAGCGGUAAAAUGCUAUAAUCCACGAAGGACCACCAAUGGCGAAGGCAUCUGACUAGAACGGAUCCGACUGUGAGGGACGAAAGCUAGGGG
rnacentral:rRNA from 1 species